UACGUAGGGGGCAAGCGUUGUCCGGAUUUAUUGGGCGUAAAGAGCGUGUAGGCGGCCUGAAAGGUCAGCUGUGAAAACUCGAGGCUCAACCUCGAGACGUCGGUUGAAACCAUCUGGCUAGAGUCCGGAAGAGGAGUGUGGAAUUCCCGGUGUAGCGGUGAAAUGCGCAGAUAUCGGGAAGAACACCCGUGGCGAAGGCGGCACUCUGGGACGGUACUGACGCUGAGACGCGAAAGCGUGGGGAGCCGUAACAGG
rnacentral:rRNA from 1 species